UCCUACGGGAGGCAGCAGUGGGGAAUAUUGCACAAUGGGCGCAAGCCUGAUGCAGCAACGCCGCGUGAGGGACGAAGGCCUUCGGGUUGUAAACCUCUUUUAGUAGGGAAGAAGCGACUGGGUUUUCCUGGGAGUGACGGUACCUGCAGAAAAAGCACCGGCUAACUACGUGCCAGCAGCCGCGGUAAUACGUAGGGUGCAAGCGUUGUCCGGAAUUAUUGGGCGUAAAGAGCUCGUAGGCGGUUUGUCGCGUCUGCUGUGAAAACCCGAGGCUCAACCUCGGGCCUGCAGUGGGUACGGGCAGACUAGAGUGCGGUAGGGGAGAUUGGAAUUCCUGGUGUAGCGGUGGAAUGCGCAGAUAUCAGGAGGAACACCAAUGGCGAAGGCAGAUCUCUGGGCCGUAACUGACGCUGAGGAGCGAAAGCAUGGGGAGCGAACAGGAUUAGAUACCCUGGUAGUCCAUGCCGUAAACGUUGGGAACUAGAUGUGGGGACCAUUCCACGGUCUCCGUGUCGCAGCUAACGCAUUAAGUUCCCCGCCUGGGUGUACGGCCGCAAGGCUAAAACUCAAAGGAAUUGACGGGGGCCCGCACAAGCGGCGGAGCAUGCGGAUUAAUUCGAUGCAACGCGAAGAACCUUACCAAGGCUUGACAUAUACCGGAAACGGCUGGAAACAGUCGCCCCGCAAGGUCGGUAUACAGGUGGUGCAUGGUUGUCGUCAGCUCGUGUCGUGAGAUGUUGGGUUAAGUCCCGCAACGAGCGCAACCCUCGUCCUAUGUUGCCAGCACGUAAUGGUGGGAACUCAUGGGAUACUGCCGGGGUCAACUCGGAGGAAGGUGGGGAUGACGUCAAAUCAUCAUGCCCCUUAUGUCUUGGGCUUCACGCAUGCUACAAUGGCCGGUACAAAGGGCUGCGAUACCGCAAGGUGGAGCGAAUCCCAAAAAGCCGGUCUCAGUUCGGAUUGAGGUCUGCAACUCGACCUCAUGAAGUCGGAGUCGCUAGUAAUCGCAGAUCAGCAACGCUGCGGUGAAUACGUUCCCGGGCCUUGUACACACCGCC
rnacentral:rRNA from 1 species